rnacentral:rRNA from 1 species
AGACGAGAAGACCCCAUGGAGCUUUAAACCCAAUUAUAUCCCUAACCCCUAUACCCAUUUAACCUCUUAGGCCUAUAUACUUGGUUUUAGGUUGGGGCGACCACGGAGUAAAACCAAACCUCCAUGAUGUACGGAACAACCUCCUUAUCUAAGAGCCACAGCUCUAAGAAUUAGCACACUAUCAUAAAAUGACCCAUUAUUGAUCAACGAACCAAGUUACCCUGGGGAUAACAGCGCAAUCCAUUUUAAGAGCCCCUAUCGACAAAUGGGUUUACGACCUCGAUGUUGGAUCAGGAUAUCCCAGUGGUGCAGCAACUACUAAAGGUUCGUUUGUUCAACGAUCAAAAUCCUACGUGAUCUGAGU